AGUCUUAUAGUCAAUAAUUGAUUUAAAAUUGCAAAUUUUAAGGAAUAUAUAAAUAUAAAUAUAUUAAGACUU
rnacentral:tRNA from 2 species